UACGUAGGUGGCGAGCGUUGUCCGGAUUUACUGGGCGUAAAGAGCGCGCAGGCGGUCGUACAAGUCGCGGGUGAAAGCCCCGGGCUCAACCUGGGAAUGGCGAUGGAUACUGGCGGGCUAGAGUGCGGUAGAGGAGAGUGGAAUUCCCGGUGUAGCAGUGAAAUGCGUAGAGAUCGGGAGGAACAUCAGUUGCGAAGGCGGCUCUCUGGACCAGCACUGACACUGAGGCACGAAAGCGUGGGGAGCAAACAGG
rnacentral:rRNA from 1 species